AGACGGGGGGUGCUAGCGUUGUUCGGAAUUACUGGGCGUAAAGGGCGCGUAGGCGGCUCUGCGAGUCGGGCGUGAAAUCCCGGGGCUCAACCCCGGAACGGCGCUCGAUACUGCGGGGCUGGAGACCGGAAGAGGAGGGUGGAAUUCCCAGUGUAGAGGUGAAAUUCGUAGAUAUUGGGAGGAACACCGGUGGCGAAAGCGGCUCUCUGGUCCGGUGCUGACGCUGAGGCGCGAAAGCGUGGGGAGCAAACAGGAUUAGAAACCCCAGUAGUCC
rnacentral:rRNA from 1 species